UGGGGAAUCUUGCGCAAUGGGCGAAAGCCUGACGCAGCCAUGCCGCGUGAAUGAUGAAGGUCUUAGGAUUGUAAAAUUCUUUCAGCGGGGACGAUAAUGACGGUACCCGCAGAAGAAGCCCCGGCUAACUUCGUGCCAGCAGCCGCGGUAAUACGAAGGGGGCUAGCGUUGCUCGGAUUUACUGGGCGUAAAGGGCGCGUAGGCGGAUUGACAAGUUGGGGGUGAAAGCCCGGGGCUCAACCUCGGAAUUGCCUUCAAAACUGUCAGUCUUGAGUUCGGGAGAGGUGAGUGGAACUCCGAGUGUAGAGGUGAAAUUCGUAGAUAUUCGGAAGAACACCAGUGGCGAAGGCGACUCACUGGCCCGAUACUGACGCUGAGGCGCGAAAGCGUGGGGAGCAAACAGGAUUAGAUACCCUGGUAGUCCACGCUGUAAACGAUGAGUGCUAGUUGUCGGCAGGCAUGCCUGUCGGUGACGCAGCUAACGCAUUAAGCACUCCGCCUGGGGGAGUACGGUCGCAAGAUUAAAACUUAAAUG
rnacentral:rRNA from 1 species